rnacentral:rRNA from 1 species
UGGUCUGUAACUGACGCUGAUGUGCGAAAGCGUGGGGAUCCAACAGGAUUUAGAUACCCUGGUAGUCCACGCCGUAAACGAUGAGUGCUAAGUGUUAGGGGGUUUCCGCCCCUUAGUGCUGCAGCUAACGCAUUAAGCACUCCGCCUGGGGAGUACGACCGCAAGGUUGAAAACUCAAAGGAAUUGACGGGGACCCGCACAAGCGGUGGAGCAUGUGGUUUAAUUCGAAGCAACGCGAAGAACCUUACCAAAUCUUGACAUCCUUUGACCCUUCUAGAGAUAGAAGUUUCCCCUUCGGGGGACAAAGUGACAGGUGGUGCAUGGUUGUCGUCAGCUCGUGUCGUGAGAUGUUGGGUUAAGUCCCGCAACGAGCGCAACCCUUAAGCUUAGUUGCCAUCAUUAAGUUGGGCACUCUAAGUUGACUGCCGGUGACAAACCGGAGGAAGGUGGGGAUGACGUCAAAUCAUCAUGCCCCUUAUGAUUUGGGCUACACACGUGCUACAAUGGACAAUACAAAGGGCAGCGAAACCGCGAGGUCAAGCAAAUCCCAUAAAGUUGUUCUCAGUUCGGAUUGUAGUCUGCAACUCGACUACAUGAAGCUGGAAUCGCUAGUAAUCGUAGAUCAGCAUGCUAACGGUGAAUACGUUCCCGGGUCUUGUACAUC